UCUGCGCCUCGGCAUUCAUUAAGAAAACCAAGAUGUGCUGCCACACGUUCGCCAGUAGGUGGCAGAGACGAGAGAGGCCACGUCUGCGCACAAUGUUCUGACAUGAAUGAAUGAUUAGUCUUCAAACAUU